AUUGAUUUUAUGCUUGCAUAAAUGAUUUUUGGAUUCGGAGCGAGUGGCGAACUGGUGAGUAACACGUGGGUAACCUGCCCCGAAGCGGGGGAUAACAUUUGGAAACAAGUGCUAAUACCGCAUAAUUAGUUGGAACCGCAUGGUUCCAACUUGAAAGAUGGCUCUGCUAUCACUUUGGGAUGGACCCGCGCCGUAUUAGUUAGUUGGUGAGAUAAAAGCCCACCAAGACGAUGAUACGUAGCCGACCUGAGAGGGUAAUCGGCCACAUUGGGACUGAGACACGGCCCAGACUCCUACGGGAGGCAGCAGUAGGGAAUCUUCCACAAUGGACGAAAGUCUGAUGGAGCAACGCCGCGUGAGUGAUGAAGGUUUUCGGAUCGUAAAACUCUGUUGCUAAAGAAGAACAAGUGUUAGAGUAACUGUUAACACUUUGACGGUAUUUAACCAGAAAGCCACGGCUAACUACGUGCCAGCAGCCGCGGUAAUACGUAGGUGGCAAGCGUUGUCCGGAUUUAUUGGGCGUAAAGCGAGCGCAGGCGGUUUUGUAAGUCUGCUGUGAAAGCCCUCAGCUCAACUGAGGAAGUGCAGUGGAAACUACAAAACUUGAGUACAGAAGAGGAAAGUGGAACUCCAUGUGUAGCGGUGAAAUGCGUAGAUAUAUGGAAGAACACCAGUGGCGAAGGCGGCUUUCUGGUCUGUUACUGACGCUGAGGCUCGAAAGCAUGGGUAGCGAACAGGAUUAGAUACCCUGGUAGUCCAUGCCGUAAACGAUGAAUACUAGGUGUUGGAGGGUUUCCGCCCUUCAGUGCCGCAGCUAACGCAUUAAGUAUUCCGCCUGGGGAGUACGACCGCAAGGUUGAAACUCAAAGGAAUUGACGGGGGCCCGCACAAGUGGUGGAGCAUGUGGUUUAAUUCGAUGCUACGCGAAGAACCUUACCAGCUCUUGACAUCUUCUGCCAACCCAAGAGAUUGGGCGUUCCCUUCGGGGACAGAAUGACAGGUGGUGCAUGGUUGUCGUCAGCUCGUGUCGUGAGAUGUUGGGUUAAGUCCCGCAACGAGCGCAACCCUUAUUAUUAGUUGCCAGCAUUUAGUUGGGCACUCUAGUGAGACUGCCGGUGAUAAA
rnacentral:rRNA from 1 species